AAUGCUAUGUUGAUGACAUGAUAGCAAAGUCCCCAAGCAGAAGAGGGGCAUCUGGUAGAUCUGGCCAAGCUGAAUGGACCAGUUAAGAUAAUUCAAACUGAGGUUGAAUUCAAAUAAGUGCACUAUCAGAGUGCGGGCCGGUAAGCUGCUGGGGUUCAUUGUAAGAGAGGAAUCGAGGUUGAUCCUGUUGAAAAAAAAAAACAAGAA
rnacentral:lncRNA from 1 species